ACUGGAGUGUCGGAGUGGUUAACGAGUUUGACUUGAAUUGAUGAGUUCAUGUGAUCAAAUGCCGAAAGGCGCGCAGGUUCGAAUCCUGUCUCCAGUG